CAAACGAGGCCUCUGUGUGAUGGUUGAUUUCUCGUGUGUUUCAGUGAGCCGGGGCUGGCACAAGGACUCGUGCAGGUACUGACCUGGCACUGGAGCCGUUGCCCUUGGAGCCAUUUUAAAGGUAUCAUCCUAGAACCUUUUGGAGGCCGUUCCUGGAAUUCCAUUUGUAGCUGGAUCUCACUCCAAGUGCAUCAGUCCAGUGAGAAGAACACGAACUCCCACCCAUUCAGGCCUGACAGUUCCCUGCAGCGAGAGCUCAGCACACAUCCACAAAAACAAGUCCAGUAUCUGAAAGAGAAAAAAGAAAGACCAAACCAGAAGAAAAAGGUUGCCAAGACGUGUUUGGGGAACCGUAACGAUUCAAAGCCUCGUCUGAAGGCAGCAGAAGCAGAGACAAGCUUUCAGGAGUUGCACAGCCCUCCAUGGACUAAACCUGAAGAUAAAAAGCCACCUGAAAAAAAGGAGAAAAAAUACAAAGAAUCAGUUAGUAUAGCAGGAAAAAACCUCUAAAUGCCACUGAUCAACAUUGCAAAAUGCCAGUGGCUUCCAUCCUCACGUUCCAUUAGCACAAAGGCAUGAAAUGUCCCAGGUUUCCAAAGCAUGCAUUUUUCACUGUUUUAUCAACGUCUGUAAACGAGUCUAGAACAGACCGAUUAGCACCUUACAGCAAGAAUCCAGAAUGGAUAUCUGAAGAAAUGCUUUGGA